UAAUAGUGCAGAUAGUUAUACUAUGCUGUAUACCUAUGUAAACCGAAUUAACGUUUAAGCGGCAUGUAAUGUCGUCGGGCAUAGGGAGCCACCUUCGGGUGGCUUUUUUGUUUAG
rnacentral:sRNA from 12 species